CCCUUAGAUGUUCUGGGCCGCACGCGCGCUACACUGAUGCAUUCAACGAGCCUAUCCUUGACCGACAGGUCCGGGUAAUCUUUGAAUCUGCAUCGUGACGGGGAUAGAUUAUUGCAAUUAUUAAUCUUCAACGAGGAAUGCCUAGUAAACGCAAGUCAUCAGCUUGCAUUGAUUACGUCCCUGCCCUUUGUACACACCGCCCGUCGCUCCUACCGAUUGAAUGAUCCGAUGAAUAUCAUGGAUUGAGGAUUAUAGCAGGUUCGCCUGUCUUGAUCUUCGAGAAGUGAAGUAAAUCUUAUCAUUUAGAGGAAGGAGAAGUCGUAACA
rnacentral:rRNA from 1 species